AUAAUAUAACAUAUUAAGAUUUAUAACCUUCUAACUUUUCCAACACAAUCAUUUUUGUUCUUUUACAUUUGCGAAGUAUAACAUUAACCUUCAUGUCCUCUUUGUAUAAAUCCCUCAAAGCCUGCAACUUAUGUUUAGUUGACCUAGAAAGUAAUUCUUAUAGUUCUUGUUAUGUGUGAAGUGAAGAUAAUUUUGCUUUGUUCUCUUUGUAGCACCUAUGUC
rnacentral:lncRNA from 1 species